AUGCGAGAAGUUACGAGGUGUGCAAUUGUACAGGCUCAAACAGAGGAGUUGGACAGGAAACUUUAUUUGUGGGAAGAGUGGAAUGAAAAGAAAAAGGAGACAUCUGAAGAAGUCUCAUCAACUUCCACAACCUGCGGUUCCUCGCUAUCCAAGGCCGAGAAGAAGACCAACUAUGAUGUCAAGCUCUGCAAGCUCUUGGAGGAAUAUGGCCAGGUUCUCAUCGUCGCCGCUGAUAACGUCGGCUCCACUCAGCUCCAGAACAUCCGCAAAGGUCUCAGUGGGGACUCCACAGUCCUCAUGGGGAAGAAUACCAUGAUGAAGAGAAGCAUAAAGAUUCAUGCUGCCAAGACCGGUAACGAUGCUUUUCUCAGCCUCGUUCCCCUCCUUGCGGGUAAUGUUGGUUUGAUCUUCACCAAGGGUGAUUUGAAGGAAGUCAGAGAGGAGGUUGCUAAGUACAAGGUUGGAACUCCUGCUUGUGUAGGUCUGGUUGCUCCUAUUGAUGUCGUUGUUCCUCCUGGCAACACCGGUCUUGACCCAUCCCAGACCUCUUUCUUCCAGGUCCUUAACAUCCCUACCAAGAUUGACAAGGGUACUGCGGAAAUUUUCAUGCCUGUUGAACUUAUCAAGAAGGGUGACAAGGUUGGAUCUUCUGAAGCUGCCCUUCUUGCCAAGCUUGGGAUCAGGCCAUUCUCUUAUGGUCUUGUUGUCCAGAUGGUGUAUGACAAUGGAUGUGUCUUCAGCCCAGAGGUGCUUGAUCUUAUUGAGGAUGAUCUCAUGAUUAAGUUUGCUUCUGGUGUCUCCAAUGUCACAGCAUUGGCAAUGGCCAUUUCCUACCCGACAAUUGCGGCUGCACCACACAUGUUCCUCAAUGCCUACAAGAAUGUGCUGGCAAUUGCUGUGAUAACUGAGUAUUCCUUCUCCCAAGCUGAAAAGGUCAAGGAGUAUCUGGAGGAUCCAUCCAAAUUUGCGGUUGCCGUGGCUCUGCUCCUGCUGCAGCUGCUGAGGAAGCAAAGAAGGAAGAGCUUGCUGAAGCGUCGGACGAUGAUAUUGGAUACGGUUGCUUGUUUGACUAG